GCAUAUCAAUAAGCGGAGGAAAAGAAACUAACAAGGAUUCCCCUAGUAACUGCGAGUGAAGCGGGAAAAGCUCAAAUUUAAAAUCUGGCGGUCUUUGGCCGUCCGAGUUGUAAUCUAGAGAAGUAAUGCCCGUGCUGGACCGUGUAUAAGUCUCCUGGGAUGGGGCGUCAUAGAGGGUGAGAAUCCCGUCUUUGACACGGACUACCAGUGCAUUGUGGUAUGCUCUCAAAGAGUCGAGUUGUUUGGGAAUGCAGCUCAAAAUGGGUGGUAAAUUCCAUCUAAAGCUAAAUAUUGGCGAGAGACCGAUAGCGAACAAGUACCGUGAGGGAAAGAUGAAAAGAACUUUGGAAAGAGAGUUAAACAGUACGUGAAAUUGCUGAAAGGGAAACGCUUGAAGUCAGUCGCGUUGGCCAGGGAUCAGCCUUGCUUUUGCAUGGUGUACUUUCUGGUUGACGGGUCAGCAUCAAUUUUGACCGCUGGAAAAGGGCCUGGGGAAUGUGGCAGCUUCGGCUGUGUUAUAGCCCCUGGUCGCAUACAGUGGUUGGGAUUGAGGAACUCAGCACGCCGCAAGGCCGGGUUUCGACCACGUUCGUGCUUAGGAUGCUGGCAUAAUGGCUUUAAGCGACCCGUCUUGAAACACGGACCAAGGAGUCUAACAUGCCUGCGAGUAUUUGGGUGGAAAACCCGAGUGCGCAAUGAAAGUGAAAGUUGAGAUCCCUGUCGUGGGGAGCAUCGACGCCCGGACCAGAACUUUUGGGACGGAUCCGCGGUGGAGCAUGUAUGUUGGGACCCGAAAGAUGGUGAACUAUGCCUGAAUAGGGUGAAGCCAGAGGAAACUCUGGUGGAGGCUCGUAGCGAUUCUGACGUGCAAAUCGAUCGUCAAAUUUGGGUAUAGGGGCGAAAGACUAAUCGAACCAUCUAGUAGCUGGGUCCUGC
rnacentral:rRNA from 1 species